rnacentral:rRNA from 1 species
UUUAGGGGGCCUGAGAGGGUGAUCCCCCACACUGGUACUGAGACACGGACCAGACUCCUACGGGAGGCAGCAGUGAGGAAUAUUGGACAAUGGGUGAGAGCCUGAUCCAGCCAUCCCGCGUGAAGGACGACGGCCCUAUGGGUUGUAAACUUCUUUUGUAUAGGGAUAAACCUACCCUCGUGAGGGUAGCUGAAGGUACUAUACGAAUAAGCACCGGCUAACUCCGUGCCAGCAGCCGCGGUAAUACGGAGGGUGCAAGCGUUAUCCGGAUUUAUUGGGUUUAAAGGGUCCGUAGGCGGAUCUGUAAGUCAGUGGUGAAAUCUCACAGCUUAACUGUGAAACUGCCAUUGAUACUGCAGGUCUUGAGUGUUGUUGAAGUAGCUGGAAUAAGUAGUGUAGCGGUGAAAUGCAUAGAUAUUACUUAGAACACCAAUUGCGAAGGCAGGUUACUAAGCAACAACUGACGCUGAUGGACGAAAGCGUGGGGAGCGAACAGGAUUAGAUACCCUGGUAGUCCACGCCGUAAACGAUGCUAACUCGUUUUUGGAAUGUAAGUUUCAGAGACUAAGCGAAAGUGAUAAGUUAGCCACCUGGGGAGUACGAACGCAAGUUUGAAACUCAAAGGAAAUUGACGGGGGCCCGCACAAGCGGUGGAUUAUGUGGUUUAAUUCGAUGAUACGCGAGGAACCUUACCAAGGCUUAAAUGGGAAAUGACAGGUUUAGAAAUAGACUUUUCUUCGGACAUUUUUCAAGGUGCUGCAUGGUUGUCGUCAGCUCGUGCCGUGAGGUGUUAGGUUAAGUCCUGCAACGAGCGCAACCCCUGUCACUAGUUGCCAUCAUUAAGUUGGGGACUCUAGUGAGACUGCCUACGCAAGUAGAGAGGAAGGUGGGGAUGACGUCAAAUCAUCACGGCCCUUACGCCUUGGGCCACACACGUAAUACAAUGGCCGGUACAGAGGGCAGCUACACUGCGAAGUGAUGCAAAUCUCGAAAGCCGGUCUCAGUUCGGAUUGGAGUCUGCAACUCGACUCUAUGAAGCUGGAAUCGCUAGUAAUCGCGCAUCAGCCAUGGCGCGGUGAAUACGUUCCCGGGCCUUGUACACACCGCCCGUCAAGCCAUGGAAGUCUGGGGUACCUGAAGUCGGUGACCGUAACAGGAGCUGAAAAAGGG